UACGUAGGGGGCAAGCGUUGUCCGGAUUUAUUGGGCGUAAAGCGCUCGCAGGUGGUUCGAUGCGUCGUGCGUGAAAGACCCCGGCUCAACUGGGGAGGGUCGUGCGAUACGGUCGAACUGGAGGCCAGUAGGGGGAUGCGGAAUUCCGGGUGUAGUGGUGGAAUGCGUAGAGAUCCGGAGGAACCCCAGCGGCGAAGGCGGCAUCCUGGACUGGUCCUGACACUCAGGAGCGAAAGUGUGGGGAGCGAACAGG
rnacentral:rRNA from 1 species